rnacentral:rRNA from 1 species
UACGAAGGGGGCUAGCGUUGCUCGGAAUCACUGGGCGUAAAGGGUGCGUAGGCGGGUUUUUAAGUCAGAGGUGAAAUCCUGGAGCUCAACUCCAGAACUGCCUUUGAUACUGAAAGUCUUGAGUAUGGGAGAGGUGAGUGGAACUGCGAGUGUAGAGGUGAAAUUCGUAGAUAUUCGGAAGAACACCAGUGGCGGAGGCGGCUCACUGGACAAGUAUUGACGCUGAGGUGCGAAAGCGUGGGGAGCAAACAGG